AUGCUACAGCUAAAUAAAUCGAUCGAUAGAUCUCAGAAGUUUAUUUGUCAAUUGUUGUGAGAUUUUCAACUCUGCCGACAGAUUUGCUUACCGAACUUCUUACAUUA